GACACGGUCCAAACUCCUACGGGAGGCAGCAGUGAGGAAUAUUGGUCAAUGGACGGAAGUCUGAACCAGCCAAGUAGCGUGCAGGACGACGGCCCUAUGGGUUGUAAACUGCUUUUAUGUGGGAAUAAAGUGAGGGACGUGUCCCUUUUUGUAGGUACCACAUGAAUAAGGACCGGCUAAUUCCGUGCCAGCAGCCGCGGUAAUACGGAAGGUCCGGGCGUUAUCCGGAUUUAUUGGGUUUAAAGGGAGCGUAGGCCGUCUUUUAAGCGUGUUGUGAAAUACUGUCGCUCAACGACAGAGGUGCAGCGCGAACUGGGAGACUUGAGUGCGCGGAAUGCAGGCGGAAUUCGUCGUGUAGCGGUGAAAUGCUUAGAUAUGACGAAGAACUCCGAUUGCGAAGGCAGCUUGCAGUAGCGUAACUGACGCUGAAGCUCGAAAGUGCGGGUAUCGAACAGGAUUAGAUACCCUGGUAGUCCGCACGGUAAACGAUGGAUGCUCGCUGUGUGCCCUUGGGUACGCGGCCAAGCGAAAGCGUUAAGCAUCCCACCUGGGGAGUACGCCGGCAACGGUGAAACUCAAAGGAAUUGACGGGGGCCCGCACAAGCGGAGGAACAUGUGGUUUAAUUCGAUGAUACGCGAGGAACCUUACCCGGGCUUGAAUUGCAGGAGAACGAUACAGAGAUGUUGAGGUCCUUCGGGACUCCUGUGAAGGUGCUGCAUGGUUGUCGUCAGCUCGUGCCGUGAGGUGUCGGCUUAAGUGCCAUAACGAGCGCAACCCUUAUCUUUAGUUACUAACAGGUCAUGCUGAGGACUCUAGAGAGACUGCCGUCGUAAGAUGUGAGGAAGGUGGGGAUGACGUCAAAUCAGCACGGCCCUUACGUCCGGGGCUACACACGUGUUACAAUGGGGGGUACAGAGGGCCGCUACCACGCGAGUGGAUGCCAAUCCCCAAAACCUCUCUCAGUUCGGACUGGAGUCUGCAACCCGACUCCACGAAGCUGGAUUCGCUAGUAAUCGCGCAUCAGCCAUGGCGCGGUGAAUACGUUCCCGGGCCUUGUACACACCGCCCGUCAAGCCAUGAAAGCCGGGGGUACCUGAAGUGCGUAACCGCAAGGAGCGCCCUAGGGUAAAACUGGUGAUUGGGGCUAAGUCGUAACAAGGUAGCCGUACCGGAAGGUGCGGCUG
rnacentral:rRNA from 1 species